rnacentral:rRNA from 1 species
UACAGAGGGUGCGAGCGUUGUUCGGAAUUACUGGGCGUAAAGCGUGCGCAGGCGGCUUUCCAAGUCAGUGGUGAAAGCCCGGAGCUCAACUCCGGAAAUGCCAUUGAAACUGUGAAGCUUGAGAACGAAAGAGGUGAGUGGAAUUCCCAGUGUAGAGGUGAAAUUCGUAGAUAUUGGGAAGAACACCAGUGGCGAAGGCGGCUCACUGGCUCGUAACUGACGCUCAUGCACGACAGCGUGGGGAUCAAACAGG